CGCCCUACUUUUCCACUUUCACCGUUUCUUCCGUUGGCGGUCGCAUCGCACUCGAAAAGAGCGCGAUGCGACCAGAGCGACGACGCGCCUGCCGGAAAAUUUGGCCUCGUCCGCGAUCUUUUCCGUUUUCUAUCCGGCGAUUUUUGGGCGGAAGAAAGUAACCGAGAAACGGCGUCGCCGCCACCGCGGCGGUUGCCAUAGCGACGACGAGUCCAGUCUCCCGGAAUCAAUCGCCGACUACGGCAGGUCGUCGACGCAAUGGCGGAGCCCGUCCACCCACCGACGCUCUGGCUCUGGGAAUCGCCGACCGCAACUCGGCGGCCCGGGCAAUAGGUCUUCGAAUCGGCCGACGGAUAGCAUGAAGCCCGGGCAGGCCCCACGGACGGCGGAUGGCAAGAAAAAUAAUAAUAAAAGAGAAAAAGUAUCAAGUUUCAUUUCGAUAAUAAUAACGGAGGGGAAAAAAACUAUGGGAAUGACCUCAGAUAAGUGAAAACUGAAAAAGAUAAGGUAAGGUUAAAGAUAUGUGAAUGGCGGAAAAUCGACAAGAGGAGUAACGGGAGGAGGAGCGAUGGAAAGGUGGAAAGGCGGAGUAUACAAUCUUCCAUGGGCGAUAUUUGCCGAAAGACAUCUUCUUAUCGUACAUUUAUUGACGGAGAGGGUCAUUCGAUUUUCUGCUGAUCUCUCCUUCCCUAUUUAAUCUACUUCCUCGAGUGUUUUAUCACUUUUUUUCCGUUAUUGCAUAUUUAAAAAUAAAUUUGUAUUUCCGAUUUAAAAUAUUUUGAACAUUUCAAAAUAGAAUGGCAAUAGUAUAAUAAUUUAACGUAAUAAAUGCGAAUUCGAAUUUUAUUUAUUAUAGUAGAGCAAUGUUUCCUAAAGUUUCGACAUCCGUGUAUUCCUUCUUAAAUUAUCGUAAGUACUGUGAACACUUUUGUCAAAAAAACGUCUUUGGUAAGCUACCCAAAUGCAGCACUCAUCGCAAUUUGAGUAGGAGAAUUCAUACGAAAUAUAUACGUGUAAAAUAAUUUAUUACAGUAUUUUUCUUAAUGAUUCGUACGGCCGUCGAGAAGUUGUUCGAACCCGGGUAGAGCCGGCCUCUUUUGAUAUUUUUUUCUUUUUUGUUUUUGAACAAAUGAAAUUUAUAGAAUAUUUAUUAAUAAAAAGCAGUCUUAACAAUUUUAUAUUUAGUUGGUAAAAAAUAACAUUAAUUUGCAGUAAUUACGAUUAGGAAUCACUUUAUGUUACUUUUACUAAAAUUAAUUUGGGAAAAGCUGAAAUUACCCAAGAAAAAACUGGGGAUUUUUCCCUGGAUCCUAAGUUAUCUUCGGGGUCAGGGAAAACUCUGAGACAGUCCUAAUAGUAGGCUACUGUACUGAACAGUGCUGUGUACAGUAUAUUACUGUACUGUACAGUGCUGUGUACAGUAUAGGUGUCAAUUUUCUGUACAGUGCUGUGUACAGAAAAUUGACACCUAUUCCCUAAGACCUUUUUCGUAUGACACUUUGGGAAACACUCAAUUGGAAAGAACGAAAAUGUGUGAUUAAUAGCAAACUGUUUUUGUAUUUUUUACCGUAUAAUCUACUAAAAAAUGAGAAUAUAUUAUAUAAAUAUUUAGGCUAUUAGCAUGAAAAUGAUUUUUAAAAAAUCUUUGUAACUAACCGAAUUUCGUUAGUAUAGAUUAAAUAAAGUAAAUAGAAAAAUAAAAACGACAUUUCUUUAGAAAUUUUCAAGUUAUAGGAAAAAAGAAAACUCGAAUUAAAUGAAGAAACUCGAAAAAAAUCAGACUCACAAGGAAAAAUAAU
rnacentral:lncRNA from 1 species